UAAGGAAUAUUGGUCAAUGGGCGGUAGCCUGAACCAGCCAUGCCGCGUGCAGGACGAGAGCCCUAUGGGUUUUAAACUGCUUUAGGCGGGGAAUACAGGUAGUUACGAGUAACUAAGAUGAAUGUACCCGCAGAAUAAGGAUCGGCUAACUCCGUGCCAGCAGCCGCGGUAAUACGGAGGAUUCGAGCGUUAUCCGGAUUUAUUGGGUUUAAAGGGUGCGUAGGCGGUUUUUUAAGUCAGCGGUGAAAGGUAUACGCUUAACGUAUAAAGUGCCGUUGAUACUGGAAGACUUGAGUACAGAUGAAGUUGGCGGAAUGUGGCAAGUAGCGGUGAAAUGCAUAGAUAUGCCACAGAACACCGAUAGCGAAGGCAGCUGACUAAGUUGUAACUGACGCUGAGGCACGAAGGUGCGGGGAUCGAACAGGAUUAGAUACCCGGGUAGUCC
rnacentral:rRNA from 1 species